rnacentral:rRNA from 1 species
GAUGAACGCUGACAGAAUGCUUAACACAUGCAAGUCAACUUGAAGCAGUUUCGGCUGUGGAUGGUGGCGGACGGGUGAGUAACGCGUAAAUAACUUGCCCUUUAGACUGGGACAACUGUUGGAAACGACAGCUAAUACCGGAUAUUAUGAAACCUUGGCAUCAAGGGAUUAUGAAAGCUAAAUGCGCUAGAGGAGAGAUUUGCGUCCUAUUAGCUAGUUGGUGAGGUAAUGGCUCACCAAGGCGACGACAGGUAGCCGGCCUGAGAGGGUGAACGGCCACAAGGGGACUGAGACACGGCCCUUACUCCUACGGGAGGCAGCAGUGGGGAAUAUUGGACAAUGGACCAAGAGUCUGAUCCAGCAAUUCUGUGUGUUUGAUGAAGGCCUUCGGGUUGUAAAGAACUUUAAGUAGGGAAGAAGAAAGUGACGGUACCUACAGAAUAAGCGACGGCUAAAUACGUGCCAGCAGCCGCAGUAACAC